UACGAAGGGGGCUAGCGUUGCUCGGAAUUACUGGGCGUAAAGCGCACGUAGGCGGCUCUUUAAGUCGGGGGUGAAAUCCUGGAGCUCAACUCCAGAACUGCCUUCGAUACUGAAGAGCUCGAGUCCGGGAGAGGUGAGUCGAACUGCGAGUGUAGAGGUGAAAUUCGUAGAUAUUCGCAAGAACACCAGUGGCGAAGGCGGCUCACUGGCCCGGUACUGACGCUGAGGUGCGAAAGCGUGGGGAGCAAACAGG
rnacentral:rRNA from 1 species